rnacentral:rRNA from 1 species
UACGAAGGGGGCUAGCGUUGUCCGGAAUUACUGGGCGUAAAGAGCUCGUAGGUGGUUUGUCGCGUUGUUCGUGAAAACUCACAGCUUAACUGUGGGCGUGCGGGCGAUACGGGCAGACUUGAGUACUGCAGGGGAGACUGGAAUUCCUGGUGUAGCGGUGGAAUGCGCAGAUAUCAGGAGGAACACCGGUGGCGAAGGCGGGUCUCUGGGCAGUAACUGACGCUGAGGAGCGAAAGCGUGGGGAGCGAACAGG